rnacentral:misc_RNA from 1 species
UUCGGAGGAUGCUCGCGUUUUCACACAAACCCCCCUUAUAAAAGUGUAGAAUGUCCUCAUUUAUGCGCUAACCCGCAAUCAAUACAACUUUCAACAACGGAUCUCUUGGCUCUCGCAUCGAUGAAGAACGCAGCGAAAUGCGAUACGUAAUGUGAAUUGCAGAAUUCAGUGAAUCAUCGAAUCUUUGAACGCACCUUGCGCCCCUUGGUAUUCCGAGGGGCACACCCGUUUGAGUGUCGUGAAAAUCUCAACCUCCUUGGUUUCUUCUGGAGACCAAAGGAGGCUUGGACUUUGGAGGCAUUUGCUGGCAUCUUCUCUCUUUUGAAGGCCAGCUCCUCUUAAACAAAUUAGCGGGGUCCUCUUUGCCGAUCCUUGACAUGUGAUAAGAUGUUUCCAUGCCUUGGUUUCUGGCUCUGUUGCUUUUGGGACCCGCUUCUAACCGUCUUGACCUUGCAUCGAGACAAUGUUCGAGCUCGUCUCCCUUCUCGGUUAGACUCUCGACCCCACGAACC